GUAACGGAGGAGCACGAAGGUUGGCUAAUCCUGGUCGGACAUCAGGAGGUUAGUGCAAUGGCAUAAGCCAGCUUGACUGCGAGCGUGACGGCGCGAGCAGGUGCGAAAGCAGGUCAUAGUGAUCCGGUGGUUCUGAAUGGAAGGACCAUCGCUCAACGGAUAAAAGGUACUCCGGGGAUAACAGGCUGAUACCGCCCAAGAGUUCAUAUCGACGGCGGUGUUUGGCACCUCGAUGUCGGCUCAUCACAUCCUGGGGCUGAAGUAGGUCCCAAGGGUAUGGCUGUUCGCCAUUUAAAGUGGUACGCGAGCUGGGUUUAGAACGUCGUGAGACAGUUCGGUCCCUAUCUGCCGUGGGCGCUGGAGAACUGAGGGGGGCUGCUCCUAGUACGAGAGGACCGGAGUGGACGCAUCACUGGUGUUCGGGUUGUCAUGCCAAUGGCACUGCCCGGUAGCUAAAUGCGGAAGAGAUAAGUGCUGAAAGCAUCUAAGCACGAAACUUGCCCCGAGAUGAGUUCUCCCUGACCCUUUAAGGGUCCUGAAGGAACGUUGAAGACGACGACGUUGAUAGGCCGGGUGUGUAAGCGCAGCGAUGCGUUGAGCUAACCGGUACUAAUGAACCGUGAGG
rnacentral:rRNA from 1 species